rnacentral:tRNA from 1 species
UAGACCGUAAAAAGUCUUUUAGA